rnacentral:tRNA from 1 species
GGGGAGUUGAUGCUAUUGGUUGGGCGUGCUAGCUGUUAACUAGUGUGGUGUGGGAUCGAAGCCCGCUGACUCCU